rnacentral:rRNA from 1 species
UGGGGAAUAUUGGACAAUGGGGAGAACCCUGAUCCAGCGAUGCCGCGUGUGUGAAGAAGGCCCGAGGGUUGUAAAGCACUUUUAGUGGGGAGGAGAGGUAUUCGGUUAAGAGCUAGAUACUGAGACGUUACCCACCAUAAAAAGCACCGGCUAACUCCGUGCCAGCAGCCGCGGUAAUACGGGGGGUGCGAGCGUUAAUCGGAGUUAUUGGGCGUAAAGGGUGCGUAGGUUGUUUAUUAAGUUAUGUGGGAAAUACCUGGGCUUAACCUGGGAGUGACGGAUAAUACUGGUAAACUUGAGUAUAGUAGAGGGUAGUGGAAUUUCCGGUGUAGCGGUGAAAUGCGUAGAGAUCGGAAGGAACACCAGUGGCGAAGGCGUCUACCUGGACUAAUACUGACACUGAGGCACGAAAGCGUGGGUAGCAAACAGGAUUAGAUACCCCCGUAGUCC